AUUGAACGCUGGCGGCGGGCCUAACACAUGCAAGUAGAACGAGUGGAGGACGGGUGUGUCAUGUCUGGGAAACUGCCUGUUGGGGGGGGAUAACUACUGGAAACGGUAGCUAAUACCGCAUACCAUCAGAUGUACCCAGAUGGGAUUAGCUAGUUGGUGGGGUAAAGGCUCACCAAGGCGACGAUCCCUAGCGGGUCUGAGAGGAUGACCAGCCACACUGGAACUGAGACACGGUCCAGACUCCUACGGGAGGCAGCAGUGGGGAAUAUUGCACAAUGGGCGCAAGCCUGAUGCAGCCAUGCCGCGUGUAUGAAGAAGGCCUUCGGGUUGUAAAGUACUUUCAGCGGGGAGGCGUUACCCGCAGAAGAAGCACCGGCUAACUCCGUGCCAGCAGCCGCGGUAAUAC
rnacentral:rRNA from 1 species